UCGUCAGUUCGUACUGUAAAGCGUUCUGUUAAGUCAGAUAACGAACGAGACCCUCAUCUCUAUUUGCUACCCGUCUCUCCGGAGGCGGCGCACUAUAGGGAGACCGCUGGUGUUAAACCAGAGGAAGGCGAGGGCAACGACAGGUCAGUAUGCCCCGAAUGUCCUGGGCUACACGCGCGCUACAAAGGACGGGACAAUGGGAAGCCAGGCCGAGAGGCCGAGCUAACCCGAAACCUGUUCAUAGUUCGGAUUGAGGGCUGUAACUCGCCCUCAUGAAGCUGGAUUCCGUAGUAAUCGUGUUUCAAUAUAGCACGGUGAAUAUGCCCCUGCUCCUUGCACACACCGCCCGUCAAACCAUCUUAGUUGGGGGUGGGUGAGGCUGCGCUUUAUGGCGUAUUCGAGCCUGCCUUCGACAAGGAGGGUUAAGUCGUAACAAGGUAGCC
rnacentral:rRNA from 1 species